AUGGGUAUGCAGUCUAUGAUGGCUGUCCGGUGCACGAACCUUGUCAACCCUGUAUGCGAUUGGCUUGCUGAGAUCUACGACCCCGCCUCCAGAGAAUUCGUGAUUCCGGGACGCGGAAGACUACCGCUGAAUGAGGAAUCCGUGUUCUGCACGUUGGGUGUGCCCCGUGGACAUAUCAAAGUCCCGUACAAGGUCAACAACGAGAUCGAGGAAGCGUUGUUCCCCCGUUUGUUUCCUGGGUUGGAAUCCAUGCCGAACACGACUGCAGUGGCAGAUUCGUUGGAGGCCAUGACGACGCACGGAGAUGUUUUCAAGAUGAAGCUACUCAUGUACCUCAUCUCAGUCGUUUUCGCGCCGACCACUUCUCUUCGCCCAAGCAACAAAUGCUUCCCCAUCCUGGCGAAACUAAAAGAUGUGAAGAACAUGAACUGGUGUAAGUUCAUUGCCGACUUCCUGCAUGAUGCAUUUGCAAGCAAGAUGUACCAGAAGGGUUGUCGACUGCAUUUAAUGCUCAUGUACGUCGACUGCCUUGAUCUGUCCACCGUGGACUUCACUGGGACAGGAGGCCCGCCGCCUGCGCACAAGUUUGCUGUUUCUGCGUGGACUAUCGAUGCUGUCAAGGCUGUGCUUGCUGCAGACAGGGUAACUGAUAGCAAAUAUGGUAAACUGCAGCUGAUGGCCAAGCAUUCUAUAGACUACAGCGUGUUUGGGGGGCCUCAAAACUUUGAAAAGUGGAUGGACAUGCACUCAGCUCCGUCUUGUCCUUCAGAGGCGAGGGCACCUGUUGAGCAGCUAAUAGGGCAGUUUGCAUCUGGAAUGACUGGCUUGCUCGGGAAGUUGGUUGAGGGGUGGACGUCCCUCAGUGGCUCUGACGGCGACGCGGUUGCGAGGCAAUUCACUUCAUUCGUCCCAAAACGUACACACCGGCCAACCGGUUGCCGUGGCCGGUAUGACUACAACAGUUCCCAGGAGCCCGCUGACACACAAGAUGAACUAGGUGGAGAUGCUGGUCUCAGCAAGGAUGACGAUGAUGUCAUGGAUAAUGUGCAAGAGGACACCGAUGAUGAUGAACACGCUGAAGUUCACGCAGGUGGUAACAAGGGCAAGGAUGCAACAGAUGUCCCCCAACCGGAU
rnacentral:rRNA from 1 species